rnacentral:rRNA from 1 species
UACGUAGGGGCCUAGCGUUGUCCGGAUUUAUUGGGCGUAAAGAGCUCGUAGGCGGUUUGGUGAGUCGGGUGUGAAAUCUCCAGGCUCAACCUGGAGGGGUCAUUCGAUACUGCCGUGACUUGAGGUCGGUAGGGGAGUGUGGAAUUCCUGGUGGAGCGGUGAAAUGCGCAGAUAUCAGGAGGAACACCCGUAGCGAAGGCGGCAUCCUGGACCGGCAUUGACGCUGAGGAGCGAAAGCCAGGGGAGCAAACGGG